AUUGAACGCUGGCGGCAGGCCUAACACAUGCAAGUCGAGCGGAUGAAGGGAGCUUGCUCCUGGAUUCAGCGGCGGACGGGUGAGUAAUGCCUAGGAAUCUGCCUGGUAGUGGGGGAUAACGUCCGGAAACGGGCGCUAAUACCGCAUACGUCCUGAGGGAGAAAGUGGGGGAUCUUCGGACCUCACGCUAUCAGAUGAGCCUAGGUCGGAUUAGCUAGUUGGUGGGGUAAAGGCCUACCAAGGCGACGAUCCGUAACUGGUCUGAGAGGAUGAUCAGUCACACUGGAACUGAGACACGGUCCAGACUCCUACGGGAGGCAGCAGUGGGGAAUAUUGGACGAUGUGCGAAAGCCUGAUCCAGCCAUGCCGCGUGUGUGAAGAAGGUCUUCGGAUUGUAAAGCACUUUAAGUUGGGAGGAAGGGCAGUAAGUUAAUACCUUCUGUUUUGACGUUACCAACAGAAUAAGCACCGGCUAACUUCGUG
rnacentral:rRNA from 1 species